UUAUGUGGAGUUAAUUCGAUGCAACGCGAAAACCGUUAACCUGGCCUUGACAUGCCACUAACGAAGCAGAGAUGCAUUAGGUGCCCGAAAAGGGAAAGUGGACACAGGUGCUGCAUGGCUGUCGUCAGCUCGUGUCGUGAGAUGUUGGGUUAAGUCCCGCAACGAGCGCAACCCUUGCCGAUAGUUGCUACAUUCAGUUGAGCACUCUAUUGGGACUGCCGGUGACAAACCGGAGGAAGGUGGGGAUGACGUCAAGUCCUCAUGGCCCUUAUGGCCAGGGCUUCACACGUAAUACAAUGGUCGGUACAGAGGGUUGCCAACCCGCGAGGGGGAGCUAAUCUCAGAAAAGCCGAUCGUAGUCCGGAUUGCACUCUGCAACUCGAGUGCAUGAAGUCGGAAUCGCUAGUAAUCGCGGAUCAGCAUGCCGCGGUGAAUACGUUCCCCGGGCCUUGUACACACCGCCCGUCACACCAUGGGAG
rnacentral:rRNA from 1 species